AGAAUACUCCCUCCGUCCUGAAAUACUUGUCAAAGAAAUGCAUAAAAAUGGAUGUAUUUAGAACUAAAAUACAUCUAGAUACGUCCAUUUCUCCAAAUGUAUUUCCGGACGGAGGGAGUAGGAA
rfam:Triticum aestivum genome assembly, contig: Triticum_aestivum_CS42_TGACv1_scaffold_221019_3B